AACGCGAAGAACCUUACCAAGGUUUGACAUGCAGGGAAAAGCCGUAGAGAUACGGUGUCCGUAAGGGUCCUGCACAGGUGGUGCAUGGCUGUCGUCAGCUCGUGUCGUGAGAUGUUGGGUUAAGUCCCGCAACGAGCGCAACCCUCGUCCAAUGUUGCCAGCGGGUAAUGCCGGGGACUCAUUGGAGACUGCCGGGGUCAACUCGGAGGAAGGUGGGGAUGACGUCAAGUCAUCAUGCCCCUUAUGUCUUGGGCUGCAAACAUGCUACAAUGGCCGGUACAAAGCGCUGCGACACCGUGAGGUGAAGCGAAUCGCAUAAAGCCGGUCUCAGUUCGGAUCGGGGUCUGCAACUCGGCCCCGUGAAGCCGGAGUCGCUAGUAAUCGCGGAUCAGCAACGCCGCGGUGAAUACGUUCCCGGGCCUUGUACACACCGCGCAUA
rnacentral:rRNA from 1 species